rnacentral:misc_RNA from 1 species
AAGAAAAAGAACGAACUUUUCUAUUUAGUUAUAACCAAUAUAACCUUAUGACUUUGAAAUUCAAGGACAUCAAACUUAACAAGGUGCGUAGAUUGUUUAUUAUUGUUUAGGUGAAUAUUAAAUAUAAAAUUAAAUUUUUAAUUACCUUACUUUAAUAAAAUAUAACAAUAUAGUUAGAAUAUAUAAUUAUUAAAAAGAUGUAUUCUGAAAUACACAUUGAUAACGUCAAAAUUAAUAAUAUAACUGAGUCAGUCAAUGCAAAAAGGGCAUAUUUUUUUUUAAAGUUACUUUUUUUGCUUAUUAAAGUUGAAAUGGGUAAACAUGUUAGGUAUAAAUAUGGCACUUUUUUGUCCUAAGCUCUUUUAGGGCUGAUGGUUCCAACUUCAUGGUAAAUUUACUCGUGAGAUAAACGUGUCCAUUUUUACUUUUCUUUUUAAAUAAGAAAAGACAGGUAACAAGUACCUGUGGGAUAAAGCUUCCCAUUGAAUCGAAACAAUUUGCCUUUAAGGAUUUAAAGUAGAUGUUGAAAAUAAUCAAUUAAUUCAGAAAGGUGCUAUUAAUUCAAGGCUAAUCUAUCUUUUUUCCUAUUUAACAUCAUUUUUUUAUUUUAAUGUUAAGUUCUAUAAUUUUCAGGCAACAUGAUAAUGCAUUUAUCUUUCUUUAUUUGCACGACUUUAUCUUUGAUCAUAUAAAAGUUGAUAUAUACAUAUAUAUGCAUCUUUUAUUUAAUUUUAUGUUUAUUACAUUUGUUGUAUGAACACUUUAAAGUUAUUAAUUAUGUAUUUACUAUUUAUUUGUUAAAUAUAUAAUUGCGUCUUAUGAAGAUAAUGUAUGUGUACAGUCAAAACUUUUGUUCCGCUAUAUAAUAUUAAUUUUAUAAAUUGACAUAUUAAAUUUAUUGAAUGUUUUCUAUAUUUAACUUGUGUUUGGCUUUUUUGAUAAUAUAUUCUUUAAUUUACUUUUUUAUCGUAUAAUAUGUAAGUUUUAAAAUUUUUGUCUUGGAUUUUUUUUCAAUACAAGGUUGAGAAAGACUUGGUUUUCUUGACGAUUUUUUGCAUCAAAGAUGUUAUUGUAAUUUAAGUACAGGAUUGAAAUUUUUCAAAAUAAAAUAAAAAUCUGUAUUGUGUUAUAAAAUGAAUGUUUUGAUUUUGAUAUUAACAUUGAGUACAGAAGAUAAGUCUAAAUUUGAAAUUUAUGUUUAUUAUUUAAUGCACAAGCAUUGAUUUAAUGCAUAGUACUGAUUGUUGUAAAAAGUUGGAAAGUUUCCUUAAAGUUUUUGAGUUUUCCAAAUUUUAUGUACAACAAUUCUCAGAGAAUUUUGCAAGUUAUAAAAUGUUGCAAUAGAAAUGUUUUUUUAAUAUCUAUGGAGUAUUUUUGAAAACACCCCGAACCAAAAGUCAUUAUGACAUUAAAAUAAUAUUGGUUCCAAAAUGAUUAUUAAAAGUAAAUUUUUUAUCCAUCACAUUUCAUCUUUAUGUUAUUUUAACGUUACUGUGACUUGUUCUUGGGUAUAGCUUGUCAUAAUAAACAAAACAAUAAAUUGAUAUAACUGUAUUUUGUACAAUUGAACUAUUGGAUGAUAUUUAUACUAAUGGAUUGGGUAGUGUAGUAGUAUGUUAAAUAGUAUAUAAUAUUUGCUUGAGUCUUUUAAAAAAAAACUAGAUGUUAUUUGAAUAUCAACUUUAAGUUUUUAUUUUAUAUAAGAUGCAAGUCCAGUGAUUCAAAUUUUGCGCCUCUACUAAGUGAAAUCUAGCAUGAAAAAUUUAAUGUUUUUAAAUAAAAACAUUAAAUUUUUUUUUAAAUAAAAAUCAACUUUUUUAAGAAUCUUUUUCUGUUAUUUAUUGUAUUUCUUUUUUUAAAGAUAAUAGGUGAGCAGCAUUACAUACAAUCGUUGAGUUAUUAUUUUGACUCAUAAUAUUUUAAUAACAUUAAAAUAUAAACAUUUUGAUAAAAUGUAAACAUUUUUUUUAAUUUAAAUUGUAUCAUACUUUAUUUUUAAAUUAUUAUAUUUGAACUUAAACUCAAAACAAAAUCUUUACACUAUUUUAGAUUAUAAACAUGCUUAAAAAGAAAUUUAAGAGUGGCAAGAAGAUAAAUGAAAAGAAUAAGAAAAAAAAUUUUUUAAUUACAUUAAAGAAAAAAUUAAGGAAAAAAUACAACUUGAAAAAAUAAAAAUUGAAAAGAAUGAAAUAAGAAGAGAUUUUUUAAGGAGAAAAUGGGUGUAAUUAAAAUUACAAACAAGGAAAAAAGGUAAUGUCAAUAAGAAGUCUAUAAGAAGAAAAAAACAAAAAGAAGAAACAUGAAAUCUUCACAAAAAAGAAACUUAUUUUAAAAUUAUCUUUUAUGACUAUAAGUCAAAUGUUUAUAUGUAAAGUUUAUUUAUUAUUUAUAUAUUAAAUAGUGAGAUAUAUACUACAAUUUCUACUGAAUAGGAAUACAUUUUAUUACAUUCAAAUAAUGAUUAUUUGUAAUAAAAGUCUUUAAAGUGAUAGUUUUUGUAUUUGUAAUAUGUGAGACGUUCCUAACAUAAAAAGAUUAAUUUUUUACUAAUUGUUACAUAAAAAAUAAUUUAAACAUCUUUUUUUAAUAUCUUCCUUCUUCUUUCUUGUGUAAUAGUCUUAAAGCCUGUUUUUUCUCUCUUGCAUAUGUAUCUGUGAUGCGCAUGUAAAUUGUACAUAGACAUAUGGGACCUACAGUUUAAUGCUACCUUCGAAUAGUUAAGACAGAGAGAUCUUAUAGGCAUAGAGUACUCUUGAUGACUUGCUAUUCCAAUUAAGAGGAGAAACAAUUUUUGGUCUUGGCCGGGAUUGAACCCGAGAUCUUUGGUGUAACAGAUUAAUACGCUAUUCGCUACAGUCGUUGUUUUUAAUAUCAUUUGUCUUAAACGAGUAGAAAUCGGAACAUCGAUCUUAUCUUACAAUCAAUAAUGUUUGACACAUGAAAUAUUAAUCUGCAUCCAAAAUAUAUACACAGGAAUUUGUUUAUAGGUACAUGUAUUAAACUAAAAGCUUUUUUACAUAGUUUGGAUAAAAUGGCCACUGUAGUGACAACGAGCGCAAAAAGAAUCACACAAGUCAGAAAUAUACGGCAAGGGAGCGUGAUAGACAUAGACGCCGAUAUGUUUCUCAAGAUAUCCAAUUAUGAAGAUACCGUUAAACAACUGGAUAUAUAUUAUGGAAUCGUCAAGAGACAAUUACUGCGCUAUCAAAGUUGCAUUACUGGCUUGUUCCCGAAAAUUUCGAUUGAUCGAAACGUUGGCAGCGUGCGUGAAAGUAUAUAUUGUGCAGCUGCAAUAUGGAGUUUAUAUCAAGCAUAUAGACGUAUAGAUGAUGAUCGUGGAAAAUCGUAUGAGCUGGGACAAUCUGCGAUAAAAUGCAUGCGAGGUAUCUUAGAGUGUUGGAUAAAGCAAUCUUCCAGAAUAGAACUUUUUAAAAAAAAUCAAUGCGACCGUUAUGCAUUGCAUUGCAAAUUUCAUUUGGAUACUGGUGAUGAAAUCUAUAAAGAUGCUGAUUAUCAUCAUUUACAAAUCGACAUCGUGUCUCUUUAUCUGAUAUUCUUAGUACAAAUGAUUUCCUCUGGGCUACAAAUUAUAUAUACACAAGAUGAAGUUGCCUUUGUGCAAAACUUAGUAUAUUAUGUCGAAAGAGCAUACCGUACACCAGAUUACGGUAUGUGGGAACGUGGGAGUCGAUAUAACGAUGGAACGCCCGAAAUUCAUGCCAGCUCUAUUGGAAUUGCAAAAAGUGCAUUAGAAGCAAUUAAUGGUUGUAAUUUAUUUGGCGAAAAAGGUGCAUCUUGGUCCGUGAUAUAUGUUGAUAUUGAUGCACACAAUCGUAAUCGUAGUAUCUUUGAAACAAUGCUUCCAAGAGAAUCAAGUUCGAAAAGUGUAGAUGUAGCUUUGUUAUCAACAAUAUCUUUCCCUGCCUUUGCAACUCAUGAAGAGGUAUUGUACAACGAAACAAAAACGAACAUUGUCCACAGGUUAAAAGGCAAUUAUGGUUUUAAACGAUUUGGAAGGGAUGGUUAUAAAACAGUACUCGAGGACAAACAGCGACGUUAUUACAAAUCGGGAGAGAUUAAGGAUUUCGAGAAUAUCGAGUGUGAAUGGCCUUUGUUUUACAUUUUCAUGAUAAUAGAUGGUGUAUUCAAGAGUCUAUCGGAACAAGUGGAAGAGUAUCAAAAUUUAUUGAAAGCGAGAGUGCACAAGGAUUUGAAUGGAGAUCCAGUGAUUCCUAUGUACUACUAUGUGCCUAUGGAAAAUUUGGAAACUGAACGAAACGAGCCAUGUAGCACUUAUCGACUGCCUAGUGAGGAAGGAAGAAUUUCUAAGUCUGCAGAUCAAGAAACUCCAAUAUAUCUAUGGAAUCAAGCCAUGUUUGUAAUUGCACAGUUACUUACCGCUGGUCUUCUGCACAUUAAUGAAUUAGAUCCGAUUCGUCGAUAUCUUCCAUCUUAUAAUCGUCCGAGGCGAGCAGGAAGAUAUUCUGCUUUUCAGGCAAAGCCUACUAUUGGCACUCAUACCGACCUAGUUGUACAAAUAGUUUUGAUCGCAGAAUCUAUGCGAUUGCAAGCUAUGAUGGCAACAUAUGGCAUUCAGACGCAAACACCGCAUGAAGUCGAACCUGUUCAGAUUUUAUCAUCCACACAGCUUGUAAAAGUUUACGAAAAGUUAGGAGUGAAUAAGAAAUUGAAUCUCCAGGGACGACCCGCGCGACCUAUAGGCUCUUUAGGUACAAGCAAGAUGUAUAGAGUCUGUGGGAUGACAGUACUCUGUUAUCCUCUGAUCUUUGAAGUAUCCGAGUUUUAUUUGUACAGAGACAUGGCUCUGCUAAUUGAUGAUAUCAAAACAGAAUUGCAAUUCGUAGGCAAGUAUUGGCGUCUUUCUGGUCGACCCACUGUAUGUCUUUUAAUACGAGAGGAACACAUGCGAGCACUUGGAUUUCGUAAAUAUUAUGGAAACAGAUCUGGAUUUGACACAGUUUAAACAAUUGCAACAUGAUUAUAUUGGCUAUCAAAGUCUCACGGAUGUUCCAAAGGCCAUCACUUAUUCCGAAAGCGUUAAGGAUUAUUCUUAUAUGCUAAAGGAGUCUCUUGGCAACAUAUUAAACGAACUUCGCAAUAGCGUUGGCUUGUAUGCAAAGUGUCAAUUAUAUGGUAUUUUAAUGAAACGA